ACGCCUCCUCUCUGCAACUUGCCUCUCAAAUCCCACGACGAAGAAGAAGAAGAAUCAUGGCUGGAUACGACGACGAAGGUCAUGGAAGAACACGACGCCGAAGGUGGUGGUGCAGCGGGUGAGGAUUGGAAGAUGAAGAAGACAACGAAGGUGGUGUUGGUGCGGCGGCGUUUGGUAGUAAUUAGGUUAAAGCUUGGUUUAGUUUUUGGUUUAUUUGGUUUGUUGGUUUAUUGUUUAAUUAGAUUUAUUUUUUAUGUUUUUGUAAACCAAUUUAAUUAUAGAUAAAUUUAAAUAAUAAAG
rnacentral:lncRNA from 1 species